rnacentral:ncRNA from 1 species
AAAGGGACGAUAGUUAGGGUUUUGUUGGUGCGUUGUUGAAGUGUUGAACCCUAGAUCUGCCCCUGUGCCAACAAGUCUGCCUGAGCUACUAUUGCAGUGAGGGCGAGCAAUCUUGCGCCGAUUGGGGUACGGACAUAGAAUGUCCCCUUGCAGGGGAUUUUCCCUAGGAAACAAAUAAUUGACUCAAAAAAUGUAUGGACAAGGGGAAUCCAACUGUUUAAUUAAAACAAAGCAUUGUGAUGGUCCCUACGGAUGCUAACGCAAUGUGAUUUAUUCCCAGUGCUCCAAAUGUCAAAGUGAAGAAAUUCAACCAAGCACUGGUAAACGACGGGAGUAACUAUGACUCUCUUAAGGUAGGAAAAUGCCUCAUCAUCUAAUUAUUGAUGUGCAUGAAUGGAUUAGUGAUAUUCCACUGUCCCUAUCUACUACAUAACGAAACCACAACCAAGGGAACGAGCUUGGAAAAAUCAACAGGGAAAGAAGACUCCGUUGAGCUUGACUCUAGUCUGACUUUGUGAAAUGACUUGAGAGGUGUAGAAUAAGUGGGAGCCGUUUUCGGUGCAAGUGAAAUACCACUACUUUUAAUGUUAUUUUACUUAUUCCGUGAGGCGGAGAUGGGGCAUCGCCCCUGUUUUUGGCCUUAAGACACAUUUCAACGGGUCGAUCCGGGCGAAAGACAUUUUCAGGUGGGGAGUUUGAUUGGGGCGACACAUCUAUUAAAAGAUAAAGCAUGUGUCCUAAGAUGAGCUCAAUGAGAACAAAAAUCUCGUGUGGAAAAA